UAAUCUCCAGCCCUUUUUAUUUUUUACUUUGAGACAGGAUCUUGCUACUUUGUCCAGUUAGGGUGGGUUUGAACUUCCAGUCCUCCCUCAGCCUCCCAAAUGCUGGGAUUACAACAUGAACCACCAUGCCUGGCUCUAGCCUUCUCUUUUAGGGGGCUUACACUUACUCAGUACACCAAAAUAAUGUGAUGGCAGAAACCACAAUAGAUUUUUUCUUUCUUUUUUUUCUUAAUUGGAAACAAGAUCUAGCCUUGGCUAGCCUCAAACUCCUCCUGCUUCAGCCUCCCAAUUGCUAAGCCCAGCAACUGUGCAUUUCCCCCCAUACCCAGAAGACACUUUCUCCAAGGGUCUCAUUAUGUCGUCUAGGCUGGCCUCAAACUCAUGGCGAGCCUCCUGCCUCAGCCUCCUGAGUGCUAGAAUAUAGACGUGCACCACCACCACGCCUGGCUUGGAAAAAACCUGCUUCCCGGUGCCUCAGAAUGUGCCUGUGUUGGAGUUAAAGAGAUUGUUCACCACCAUGGCAUUCCUUAACCACAAUGUACGAGGUCUUUUCCUGUUGCUAGUAACACAAUACCAGAAUAGGGUCUCCUUCUGUACCCCAGGAUGGCCUUGAACUCAAGGCUAUCCUCCUGCCUCAGCAUCCAGAAUGCAGAGAUUGCAGAUGCGUGCCACCACACCCCGCGGCCAGAGAAGUGGUCUCUAGCCUGAGGCGAUCAGCAGCCCCUACAGAGAACAAGAGCCACCCAGAGUGGGGGCAUCAGAGCCCCGAGACUUGGCUAGAACCUUCCCUGGACAGAAUCUUCGUUCUGUGUGGGGAGGGAGGUUGAGACAACAGGCACUAAGGUAGGCACACGGAGGAGCACCCGGGCCCUGCUAUUCAGGAACAAAAGGACAUGCAGCACAAACUUGGGCCCUCAGUGCCCUUAGUAUUGUACAUAGGUAAGUUAAUUAGUUAUCUUGUAGGCAGUUAGACAGGAGCCACCCUCACGGAGCCAACACAGCGAGGAGCCAACAUGGAGGACAACUGAGGCACAUUAACUGGUUAGCAUUAUAAAGAGAAGAGAAGUGGGCCGGGGAUUUAGCUCAGUGGUUCUGCCUCCUGCCCCGCAAGUGCAAGGAUCAGACUUUGAUCCCCGGUACCAAAAAAAAAAAAAAAAAAAAAAAAAAAAAAAAAAAAAAAAAGAAGAAGAGCUCUACUUCCCCUAGAGAUAGCAGUGAUUGAUAUUCCAAAUGGGAAACUUCUCGUAUGUGACUUGUUUUCCCAUUUGAUCCCCAUUUAAUCAGUAUUACCUGGGUCACUGUACUGAAGGACCCUUGUUAGCAAGACAGACUCCAUAUUGCUGCUUGACCCACCUGCCUACCCUUUAGAUGAACUCAGAAGGAGGAAACUUAAAAACCUCCUCCCCUUGGAGAGUCUCUUUAGAAAUAACAGUUAAUCAACUAUUGUUUUAUAAAUGUUCUAACAGCAGGACGUUCUGCUUCUG
rnacentral:lncRNA from 1 species